CAGCCGUAAACUAUGCUCGCUAGGUGUCAGGCAUGGCGCGACCGUGUCUGGUGCCGCAGGGAAGCCGUGAAGCGAGCCACCUGGGAAGUACGGCCGCAAGGCUGAAACUUAAAGGAAUUGGCGGGGGAGCACAACAACGGGUGGAGCCUGCGGUUUAAUUGGACUCAACGCCGGACAACCCACCGGGGACGACAGCAAUAUGUAGGCCAGGCUGAAGACCUUGCCUGAAUCGCUGAGAGGAGGUGCAUGGCGUAGACGUCU
rnacentral:rRNA from 1 species